rnacentral:snoRNA from 1 species
CCUCGCGAGUGGGAGUGCGGCUGGGGCUGUGGAUGUCUGUGUGUGGUAUUGUGUGACGUGAAUGGUGCCUUUGGGCUGAAUGCGAGUAUGGAUAUUGGAGUGUGUGUGCGCGCGACUGGGAGGUGCAAGGCGAGUGUGUGUACCCCCUCCCCUCCCCUCGCCUACACCUUGAUCUUAUUUGAUCGGGUCGUGACCCCCCGCCCCGCCGGGCCGCCCCGAAAUGAAAAGCAGCCCUCCUGCGAAGCCCCCUCGGUGGGGCGCUGUGCAGCGAGGCCCUCUGGGCGGUGGCGGCGUCGCGGUUCCCGGGGUUCCGGGAUCGGUCCUGCGGGCCCGGCGCUCAGAAGUGAUGAAUUGAUCAGAUAGACGAGGCCGGGUCCGUCCCAGCCGCUGAUUACCGAGCGAUUCUGAUCUGA